GUGACCGUGGCGAUGUAGGUGGAAGCAGCGGUGGAGGAGGAGGAUGAGGUAGCCAACACUGUUUUUUAUAUAUAUAUUUUUUAAUUGGGGUAGCCCCAAAAUAUUGGGACAUAUAAAAAAAGACAACUCUGUUCCACAGAGUAGCUGUUGACAUUAAAGUUGCGCAGGCACUUUGUUGACUAGAGAACCUUGGGCCAAUUGCACAUCCCUGUGUCGGCGACUUUGCAUGCAGAUGUCAUCCAUAUCAGUUUCUGCACCUACCAUGGUGACCACAGGUAAUGGGGAAUCAGAGUUCCAUUCCAUUCAGGGACCCUGAGAAAUGGCUACCACAUGCAAGGAAGGCAGCAGGCACAGAAAUGAUCCACUCCCGAUGCGGGAAGGUAGUGACGACAAAUAACAAUACAGGACUCUUUAGAGGCCCUGUAAUUGUAAUGAGUCCACUUGAAAUCCUUUAACUCUGAUCAAUUGGAGGGAAGUCUGGUGCAGAGCCACUGACCUGUGCAUGCUGCAGCUGAAACUCCACU